rnacentral:rRNA from 1 species
GGGGGAUAACAGCCGGAAACGGUUGCUAAUACCGCAUAAGCGCCAAAUGCCGCAUGGCAUGGGGCGGAAAACUCCGGUGGUAUGGGAUGGGCCCGCGUCUGAUUAGGCAGUUGGCGGGGCAGCGGCCCACCAAACCGACGAUCAGUAGCCGGCCUGAGAGGGCGGCCGGCCACAUUGGGACUGAGACACGGCCCAGACUCCUGCGGGAGGCAGCAGUGGGGAAUAUUGCACAAUGGGGGAAACCCUGAUGCAGCGACGCCGCGUGGGUGAAGAAGUAUUUCGGUAUGUAAAGCCCUAUCAGCAGGGAAGAAAAAAAUGACGGUACCUGACUAAGAAGCACCGGCUAAAUACGUGCCAGCAGCCGCGGUAAUACGUAUGGUGCAAGCGUUAUCCGGAUUUACUGGGCGUAAAGGGAGCGCAGGCGGCGCGCCAAGUCUGAUGUGAAACCCCGGGGCUCAACCCCGGGCAUGCAUUGGAAACUGGCGGGCUGGAGUGCCGGAGAGGUAAGCGGAAUUCCUAGUGUAGCGGUGAAAUGCGUAGAUAUUAGGAGGAACACCAGUGGCGAAGGCGGCUUACUGGACGGCAACUGACGCUGAGGCUCGAAAGCGUGGGGAGCAAACAGGAUUAGAUACCCUGGUAGUCCACGCUGUAAAC